AGGGCUCCCUUUGACACUUCAAACCUUGGAGCAGAUUCACUCAGCUGCCUUUACAAAGAAAAAAAUUAAACUUCUUUUCGAACGCUCCUUUCCUCUUUCACUGGAGUGAACGUUGUGGGCGGACAAUAAUCUUUCUAGAAAAUGUGAUGACCUGGAAGAACAGUAUCUGUCAUUACCAGGAUACUUCCCCGAAGAGCAGCAACAGUGCUGGGAAAUGCUAUCAGAAACUGGAAGACAAGAUCAAGUUUUGAGAAGAGAUCUUGAUAGAGACUGAAGAAAUGUCCAGCAGUGCUGGGUCGCAGUAGAUUUUUCUUGCAGAAUAUGCUGAAACGAAAUUACCUGAUAUUCGCCAGGUGGUAUCAGAGUGGGCUUUGCUCUGCUUUGCUGCAAUUAGACGUUGGUGAUGGUGCGAUGACGGACAUCAGCACAGUGACAGAAAAAAGGGACACGCUUCUCACUAAUGUUGCGGCAUGAUGAUCCCUUCAGGUUGAUCAACCAAAAAUUGUCAUCUCUAAUGGUGCAAUGCUGCUAUUUUUCUCAAGCUGUGUAGCAUUAACUCCAAAAGGAGUCAAAUUCAAAUGCACUAAGUUGGAUUCCUCCAUUGAACCUUAGCCAACAUUGGGGAUGGCUGAGUAUCAGUCCCAGGAACAGCUUCCCAAUCUUCUGGGCAAGUUGCUAUUUAGGAUCUAACCCGCUGCCAUCAGCAGAGGCAUCAGUGGGCUCAUGAACAAGCAUCGGAGGCUGAAGACUGAAUUUAGAUAAGUACUGAUGUAGUUUCUAGAUCUUGAUUUCGCCCCAUGAGACAUCAUGCUGAAUACUUUGCACUGGAUCCCUAUGGGGAGUGGCAGAAAUCUUACCUUUCAUGUUAUUUAUGGUAGCUGCGAGAUAAUGACUCAGGAAGAGACACUGAUAUGGUCUGGGGAGCUUUGGUGAUUUUCUUGUUGUUCUUUGCACACCAGGUAUUAGGGCAAAUGUUUAUCAGGGGAAAAAAACCUGAGGGUUAAAGAGAGCUAGAGAGAAAUUCAAGCAUGUAUAACAGUUUUCUCCCAGGCAUUGUUCCAGUUUUUGAUUUGCAUACCUUUACCAAAAUUAAACGGUGUUUUAAGCUUAACAAUCUUUUGUAUCCCUUAUUUAAUCCUUAGCUCCUGACUUGAGAAUUAUUAAUAACAUUAAAUAUUAUUCUUACAGAGUUAGCCAACUAGUAAAUGGGAAAGAUGUCUAAGAAGUCUUAUUAUUACCCUUACUGAAAUCAUUUCAGAUAGUUAAAAGGUACAAAAGCUAUGCUAAUAUUAGAAUACUGCUAGUGGAGCUACCCAAUGAAGAAUAAGAAUACUAAAUAUAAUACCAAUUAAAAUGAGAUAUAAAGAGGAAUCUAAUACUAAUUGGCUUUAUCUCGAAACUACUAAAUAGCUAUAGUCUAGAGAAACAAGAAUCCUAUUGUUCCUAAUUUAUUCUGUAACAGAUAACUGCAGUGGUUUAGAGAUAGACAGAGGAAUUAAGUUUUAGGAGUGGUAAAUCCUUGCUGCUAUUUUGGAUUAGCUACCAGUGAGGAAAUAUAGAAAUGAAAGUGACUUGACCUAACAGAAUUAAAAGUAUUUAACUCAAAUAAUGAGAUGAAUAUCAGUGGGUUUUGCUUCUUAGACAUUUCUAUAAAAAGUCAUUUUGAACAGGUAAAUUAAUGAAUAUUGGAGAUGUCAAAUUAGAGGCAGCCUGAUCCAGUGGGAGGUGUCCCUGUCCAUGGCAGGGGGGUUGGAACUGGAUGAUCUUUAAGGUCCCUUCUGACCCAAACUAUUCUAUGGUUAUAGUUUUUUUGACAGUCACGUUUAGAAAAACAGAAGACUGAUGUGAAGUAUUGCUCACUGAGCUUUUGUAAGGCUUUCUGGUGUCAUUUGCGGCUAUGCUGUAACUUGUAUAGAUGCUCCUUUCCUGCUUGACCUGGCUAUUUUCAUAAAAUUUGAGUGCAACUGAUCAGCUGAGUGUAGCUCAUCCUCUUAACAACUCCAUCCUUCUGUCAAAUUUGGUUAAGAAGUUAAAAACCUUUUGAUGGAUCCAGGUAGAAGCAGACAGCAUUUAUGUGGGAGUUCAUUUGCAUAAGAAACAUCUUCAGGGGAAGUACUUCUUGCCCAAAUAACUGUCAUUUCAUCCCGGUUUUCCCCUUUUCCCUUCAUGGAGGGAAGGAGGGGUUUUCUCUUUUUUUUGAGGGGGGGAGGUGGAGGGAGGGGGAGGCAAGACUUCUCUUUAACUGUGCACUAAUUGCAAUUUAUUGUUCCCUAUUUUUUAUCGUUGUGGGUUUCUCCAGAGCAGAGAAAACAUGGAGGAACAGAGUUUACAAUUGUAUAUUUUCAGCCUUCCCGUGGGGGGGCCAUACAUUCCAGCUGGCAACACAUUAGCUUCCGAUUUGAAAGCCAUGAGGUUUGUUCCGGUUCAGUUCUUAAUUAACUGCAUGUCCUGAGGCUGGACCUGACCCCUCCCUGCCAGCUCUUAGUGAAUGUGUUUGCAAUGAAUGACAGCAAAACAGUAAAGAUCUUAUUCUGACGGAUGUCCCUGAAAGGGACCACAGAGAGGAAGUCUCUUAUGAGGACUGAAGGGAAGGACACAAGAAGAACUCUGCUCCGAAGUAUGAUCCAACCAUUGUGCUUCUCCAAGAUCUGCAGCAGCUGUACCUGACACCCAUGGCCGUUUUUCUGUGGCUGAGCUCUGUGGUGCUUCUACAAAUCUUUUUCCCUCAGAUUGACUUUAGCCGCUCUGUUCGGUGCGCCUGCAGACUCUUUUCAUUACAAACAGUGGGGUUGUGGGGAGGAAGAGAAUAAAGAAGAAAAAAGUGGAUUGAUAUGAGUGAUUGGAGGAGGGAGAAAAGAAAUCUGCACAGCUGAGCGUUUUUAAGCUUAUGUUACUGCAAAUUUGUGUUCCCACUUUGUCAAGAGGGAAGCGUCAAGCUUUAAUAACAACGUGACAGGCUUAAGGAAAGGGAAGACAGGAUUUUCUUGUCUUCUUCUCAGCAGGCGCAAGCAACUAUCAGCCCAAACUGGCCAGCCAGAACCUGAGCAGAGUUUGGGAUGGAAGUGGAACAAUGCAUCUGUGGUAGAUAAUAAACGAAGCAGAUCGCGGAAUUAACUGAAGUUCUGAAUGUGACUCAGCCUAUUUAAAAUAAAGAUACUUGUCAAGACCAUCAUCAAAACUUCCUAAUGACAAUAAAUAGGUGCAUAUGGUGAUGUCUAAGAAAAAAAUUAACAAAGAUUGAAUAUGUUCUUUUUGGACAAAAACAUAAAGAAGGUAAUUGUGAAUUAAAUCCAGCUGCAGAGAGAAGGUAAAUGAGAAUCAACUCCAGCUGUGUCUGAUUUCCAUAAGUAUCUGGGAUUGCAGCUUAGGCUUCAGGCCUGGAUAUAGCACAAUUUACUGGAUGCUUCUUAUUGCCCUUGACAAAAAAAAAAAUAAGCUUCAUUUAUGCUGAUAUCAGUUCAACAAUAUGUUAUUGGCGUGCUUACACAGUGUGACAGAGCUGAGCUAAUCACAUGCAAAAUAUUAAGAUAGAUGCUGAACAAAUGUGUUUGCUUCCCAAAACGUAAUGACUUUAUGAUGUUUUAAGUGGGUCUGAUUGUGUUGUGCUAUUAAGGUUGCUUUAGAUUUUCCACUGGAGUACUGUGUUCUGUUGUUACGUCCAUGCCAAACAAUAACCCUUUCCUUGAUCAAGACAAACACAGUCAUGGGAUACGUAAUCCAACCAACUAAGUAAUAUCAUUUCCAUCAUAAGGGUAUCUAAUUUCUGGACAUCUAAUCUCUUCCACAUUACCUGACAAGAAUAUGGUGGAAUUAUGACCUAAGAAAAGUUAUCUAAACACCUGCAUGUGAAGUGGAAGCAUGUGAAGCUCUGCGGAUCCUCAGUUACACACCACUCCCAGCCUUAUUCCAAACCUAAAUGAAGAGUUGUUCUGGUCUGGUUUGGGCUAGCAACGCUUCAGCAACUGCAUGACAGAGAGAAUUUCAAGACAAAUCAGACAUACCCUAAAUCAAAAUAGAUGGAUCUUGCAAGAAUGCACUUCCAACACUUAACAAGAUAAACAGAGCCAAUAUCUAAUGAGUUCUUUUCAAAAUCUGCGAGGUGCUAACCCUACUGAAAAACGGCAGUUUUCAUAAGGAUGAGAAAGUGCCUCCUGAGACAACAUAUCGCUGAGGAGAAUUAGAAGACCAAAGGACAAUGGCUUCCAAGGACCUCGGCCUUAUCAGUGUGUUGCCCUGUCCCACUUCAGGAAAGCUGAAAGCCAUCAGUACGUGAUCAGCAAUGAAAUUGCACGGACUUGCAGACGGAUUUGAAUAAACUCAUUUCUGUGACAUAAGGAAGAUACGAUCAGAAGUUCAAAGCUUCAUUAGAUGUGAUGCUAACAGCUGUCCAGUGAGAUAGAGGCCACCUGCUCGUUUUAUGUGAAAUAUAAUCUUGGAACCCAGCUCCAUAAUUUCGAUAUGCAUAUAAUUUGACGUAGUUGAUGAAUCCAGCAUGCAAUGGUCGCAAUGUUAAUGUUCUUAAAUGUAUCCUGAAGCCUCUUUACUCAAUAAGAACAACAACAAGAGUAAAAACAUCAAGGAAGAACAGCAGAGGGAGAAUAGAAGAUCAGCAUGUAACCAAGUCAGAAGCCAAAGGCUGAAAGAGUCUCUGAAGAGAAAAGUUUCAGGAUUCAAGGAAAUGCUUGCAGUCAUUUCUCCCACUCACUCUGCAGACGAAAAGGUUUGUUACAAGACUGGAGUGAUCCGGGUCUUCUUUUUUUGAGCAGAAUAACUGAUUUUGAAUGUCCACACAAGUCUGAAGAAGUACAUGAGAAGAGAGCCUGGCUCAUCUCUCCAUAAAGGCUAAUACCAGGUCAGCUGCAGCCGUUUUAUUGCUAGGAGAGAAAGAAAUUCUAUGUGGCUGCUAGGUUACAAGUGGUAUUAUGUGCUUGAAGUCAUUUAUGCUGUAUUAGAUACUGCUACUGCAGGAACUUGGAGAGAAAACUGUACAAAUCAAGAGUACAUUUCUGCCUGGUAACACCUAUCUGGCUCUGGAAUGAAUGAGAAAAAUUGGAAAGAAAGCAACUAUGGCAUACAGGCUACCACGAUCAGGAACUGAAGAUGAAAUGUGUGUUCAUAGGCAGCGUUUUAAAACAGCUGCAAUUUCAGUGCUGGCCCAACCCUCUGAUUAGACCAGUGGAAAAGCUGUGAUGGAUACUCUAUAAUAAAUGUCUGAGCAACAAAGAGCAAAAAAGAAAAAAGCAUCCUAUUAGAGAGGAGCAGGAGCCAAGAAGCAAAAGAAGAACCUUGCUGCACGGAAGAGAAGGACCUGGGGGUGCUGGUUGACAGCGACUGACCAUGAGCCAGCAGUGUGCCCAGGUGGCCAAGAAGGCCAACGGCAUCUUGGCUUGGAUCAGAAAUGGGGUCACCAGCAGGGCCAGGGAGGGGAUUCUCCCUCUGUACUCAGCACUGGUGAGACCGCACCUUGAAUACUGUGUUCAGUUCUGGGCCCCUCACCACAAGAAGGAUGUUGAGGCUCUGGAGUGUGUCCAGAGAAGAGCAACAAAGCUGGUGAGGGGCUGGAGAACGUCUGACGAGGAGCGGCUGAGAGAGCUGGGGUUGUUUAGCCUGGAGAAGAGGAGGCUGAGGGGAGACCUUAUUGCUCUCUACAACUACCUGAAAGGAGGUUGUGGAGAGGAGGGAGCUGGGCUCUUCU